rnacentral:rRNA from 1 species
UACGCAAGGGGCUAGCGUUGUUCGGAAUUACUGGGCGUAAAGCGCGCGUAGGCGGCCACGUAAGUUGGGGGUGAAAGCCCGGAGCUCAACUCCGGAAUUGCCUUCAAGACUGCGUAGCUCGAGUGCGGGAGAGGAGAGCGGAAUUCCCAGUGUAGAGGUGAAACUCGUAGAUAUUGGGAAGAACACCGGUGGCGAAGGCGGCUCUCUGGCCCGUUUCUGACGCUGAGGCGCGAAAGCGUGGGGAGCAAACAGG